AUUGAACGCUGGCGGCAGGCCUAACACAUGCAAUUCGAGCGGAGCGGAGGACGGGUGAGUAAUGCCUAGGAAUCUGCCUGGUAGUGGGGGAUAACGUCCGGACACGGGCGCUAAUACCGCAUACUAUCAGAUGAGCCUAGGUCGGAUUAGCGAGUUGGUGGGGUAAAGGCCUACCAAGGCGACGAUCCGUAACUGGUCUGAGAGUAUGAUCAGUCAAACUGGAACUGAGACACGGCCCAGACUCCUCCGGGAGGCAGCAGGGGGGAAGAUUGGACAAUGGGCGAAAGCCGGAUCCAGCCAUGCGGCGUGUGGGAAGAAGGCCUUCGGAUUGUAAAGCACUUUAAGUUGGGAGGCGUUACCAACAGAAUAAGCACCGGCUAACUUCGUGCCAGCCGCCGCGGUAAUAC
rnacentral:rRNA from 1 species